AAUGAACGCUGGCGGCGUGCCUAACACAUGCAAGUCGAGCGAGAAAGCUUCUUCGGAAGUGAGUACAGCGGCGGACGGGUGAGUAACACGUGAGAAUCUACCCUUUAGUGAAGAAUACCUUUGAGAAAUCAAAGUUAAUACUGCAUAUGUCCCUUCGGGGAGAAAGAUGGCCUCUUUGCUGUCGCUAAAGGAUGAGCUUGCGGACUAUUAGCUUGUUGGUGGGGUAAAGGCCUACCAAGGCGAUGAUGGAUAGCCGGCCUGAGAGGGUGUACGGCCACACUGGAACUUAGACACGGUCCAGACUCCUACGGGAGGCUG
rnacentral:rRNA from 1 species